rnacentral:rRNA from 1 species
CGUAGGUAAUCUAUCCUUACAUUUGGGAUAACAUCGGGAAACUGGUGCUAAUACCGAAUGGUCUUCAUUGCUUUGGGGCGAUGGAGUAAAGGUGGCCUCUUCAUGAAAGCUACCGUGUAGGGAUGAGCCUGCGUACCAUUAGCUAGUAGGUGGGGUAAUGGCCCACCUAGGCUACGAUGGUUAGCGGGUCUGAGAGGAUGAUCCGCCACACUAGAACUGAAACACGGACCAG